CUUUUUCUAAAGUCAAAACAAUUGCUCCUCCUGUUUUAUUUGUAAACAGGGUGAGUGAUUUUAUUUUUUUGAUUGGUCCAAGGUCACCUGGAAUUUAAGUGUGAGUGGGAAAAGCAUAUGAACAAAAGUCCAUUCAUUGUAAAGACACAUAAAGACCCAAUCGCAGCAAUGCCUAUCAUAGAGAAAAUAACGGCGCUGAUUUAUAAUUUGGAAAAAUCCUCGGCCAAAUGGGCAAUGAAAACACUGGAGACAAGUAAUUACACAGCAAGCUCAGCAGAGGAGGUCCUGAAAAAACUAAGAGAAACCGAUUGGGAUGCAGAA
rnacentral:lncRNA from 1 species